rnacentral:lncRNA from 1 species
UCCCACAAUUAUUAAUGAGCAGUGAAAUGCCAACAUGGUGGAAACAGAAGGGAGAAGAAAGAACAGCAAAGACGCUGAUCGUUCAAAACUGAAGAAGCAGCUCAUGAAUAAUGGAGAGCUAUGUGCAUACAAAUUGCCAGAAGAUGAAAAGAGAACAUAUUCAAAAUCUGUGGGAAGAUUCCAUCUUGAAGAGAAGAGCCAUGUUUGUUUGAUUUUUUUCAAACUUUGGUGAAUACCUCAAGAAAGGCUGCUGGGAACGAACUUGAAUGAAGACUUGAAAGGCCCCCAAAUCAGAGACCCUGAAGCUUCCCAGUAAGUCCUCUUCCCUGGAAGGACCGUCUGCUGUAACGAACAUAGAAGGCUGCCUAUUUUCCUCAACAGGAUUGGGACUAGGCAGAAUCUGAGGAAAAAAUAACAAAAUGGUGCACAUUCAUUGGGUUCCCAUCCCAAAGGGCAGAGCAAAAAGCAACAGCGGGCAUAUACGGGGCCAUUGAUGAUAUAACUGGCUUCUGUGGAAUGGAGGUGCUUUCUCUUACACAUUCUUGAAUAUUCCUAAGAAUAUUUUUCUAUUAGUCUAUACCUCUCUGUGUUUUCUUCUUUUCCCCCCAGCUUCAUUGAGGAACGAUUGACAAAUAAAAAUUGCAUAUAUUUAAGGUGUACA